GAAAUCCCGUCUGGGAAGGUCUAGCCAACCACCCAGUAUCCAGCCUUGGGACUGAAGCGGUAACGCCAGGUCUAAGCGUAGGCAGGAAAGGUAGUAGGCCGAAAGCACAAGCUGAAGAUGUAGAAUCCCGAAAUCAUCAAUGGUCAAGGUCGAUGCAUGGGACGAGCAGAAGACAACACCGCAGUUAGCGAUACAGGCGAGCUAAUCGCGGCAGCCCGGGAUCGUAGGUCU
rfam:Sporomusa sphaeroides DSM 2875 SPSPH_contig000001, whole genome shotgun sequence.